GAUGAACGCUAGCGGCAGGCUUAAUACAUGCAAGUCGAACGGGAUUCGAGGUAGCAAUACUUUGAUGAGAGUGGCGCACGGGUGCGUAACACGUAUGCAACCUACCUUUAACUGGUGAAUAGCCCCGGGAAAUCGGGAUUAAUACACCAUAACAUUACGAAAUGGCAUCAUUUUGCAAUUAAAGAUCUUCGGUUAAAGAUGGGCAUGCGGGACAUUAGCUAGUUGGUGAGGUAACGGCUCACCAAGGCAACGAUGUCUAGGGGGUCCUGAGAGGGUUUUCCCCCACACUGGUACUGAGACACGGACCAGACUCCUACGGGUGGCAG
rnacentral:rRNA from 1 species